ensembl:snRNA U6 U6 spliceosomal RNA
CUGCUCUUUUUGGCAGUACAUAUACUAAAAUUGGAAAGACACAGGGAAGAUUGGCAUGGCCUCUGCGCAAGGAUGACAUGCAAAUUCAUAAGCAUUCCAUGUUUUA